rnacentral:rRNA from 1 species
GGGUUGUGAGGUUAAGCGACUAAGCGUACACGGUGGAUGCCCUGGCAGUCAGAGGCGAUGAAGGGCGUGCUAAUCUGCGAUAAGCGCCGGUAAGGUGAUAUGAACCGUUAUAACCGGCGAUACCCGAAUGGGGAAACCCAGUGUGAUUCGUCACACUAUCAUUAACUGAAUCCAUAGGUUAAUGAGGCGAACCGGGGGAACUGAAACAUCUAAGUACCCCGAGGAAAAGAAAUCAACCGAGAUUCCCCCAGUAGCGGCGAGCGAACGGGGAGGAGCCCAGAGCCUGAAUCAGCAUGUGUGUUAGUGGAAGCGUCUGGAAAGGCGCGCGAUACAGGGUGACAGCCCCGUACACAAAAGCGCAUGUGCUGUGAGCUCGAUGAGUAGGGCGGGACACGUGGUAUCCUGUCUGAAUAUGGGGGGACCAUCCUCCAAGGCUAAAUACUCCUGACUGACCGAUAGUGAACCAGUACCGUGAGGGAAAGGCGAAAAGAACCCCGGCGAGGGGAGUGAAAAAGAACCUGAAACCGUGUACGUACAAGCAGUGGGAGCCCCACCACUAAGCCAGUGGUGAACUCCACAUACGCAUCCUUUGCUGAGGAUACGGUUAACGGAGCGAAAGCGACGUUCAACCUCAAAAGAAGCAGAGGGGGCUUAGUGGUGGGGUGACUGCGUACCUUUUGUAUAAUGGGUCAGCGACUUAUAUUCUGUAGCAAGGUUAACCGCAUAGGGGAGCCGGAGGGAAACCGAGUCUUAAUUGGGCGUUAAGUUGCAGGGUAUAGACCCGAAACCCGGUGAUCUAGCCAUGGGCAGGUUGAAGGUUGGGUAACACUAACUGGAGGACCGAACCGACUAAUGUUGAAAAAUUAGCGGAUGACCUGUGGCUGGGGGUGAAAGGCCAAUCAAACCGGGAGAUAGCUGGUUCUCCCCGAAAGCUAUUUAGGUAGCGCCUCGUGAAUUCAUCUCCGGGGGUAGAGCACUGUUUCGGCUAGGGGGCCAUCCCGGCUUACCAACCCGAUGCAAACUGCGAAUACCGGAGAAUGUUAUCACGGGAGACACACGGCGGGUGCUAACGUCCGUCGUGAAGAGGGAAACAACCCAGACCGCCAGCUAAGGUCCCAAAGUCAUGGUUAAGUGGGAAACGAUGUGGGAAGGCCCAGACAGCCAGGAUGUUGGCUUAGAAGCAGCCAUCAUUUAAAGAAAGCGUAAUAGCUCACUGGUCGAGUCGGCCUGCGCGGAAGAUGUAACGGGGCUAAACCAUGCACCGAAGCUGCGGCAGCGACGCUUAUGCGUUGUUGGGUAGGGGAGCGUUCUGUAAGCCUGUGAAGGUGUGUCGUGAGGCAUGCUGGAGGUAUCAGAAGUGCGAAUGCUGACAUAAGUAACGAUAAAGCGGGUGAAAAGCCCGCUCGCCGGAAGACCAAGGGUUCCUGUCCAACGUUAAUCGGGGCAGGGUGAGUCGACCCCUAAGGCGAGGCCGAAAGGCGUAGUCGAUGGGAAACGGGUUAAUAUUCCCGUACUUGGUGUUACUGCGAAGGGGGGACGGAGAAGGCUAUGUUGGCCGGGCGACGGUUGUCCCGGUUUAAGCGUGUAGGUGUGUGUUCCAGGUAAAUCCGGUUCACUUUAACACUGAGGCGUGACGACGAGGCACUACGGUGCUGAAGCAACAAAUGCCCUGCUUCCAGGAAAAGCCUCUAAGCAUCAGGUAACAUCAAAUCGUACCCCAAACCGACACAGGUGGUCAGGUAGAGAAUACCAAGGCGCUUGAGAGAACUCGGGUGAAGGAACUAGGCAAAAUGGUGCCGUAACUUCGGGAGAAGGCACGCUGACACGUAGGUGAAGUGAUUUACUCACGGAGCUGAAGUCAGUCGAAGAUACCAGCUGGCUGCAACUGUUUAUUAAAAACACAGCACUGUGCAAACACGAAAGUGGACGUAUACGGUGUGACGCCUGCCCGGUGCCGGAAGGUUAAUUGAUGGGGUCAGCGCAAGCGAAGCUCCUGAUCGAAGCCCCGGUAAACGGCGGCCGUAACUAUAACGGUCCUAAGGUAGCGAAAUUCCUUGUCGGGUAAGUUCCGACCUGCACGAAUGGCGUAAUGAUGGCCAGGCUGUCUCCACCCGAGACUCAGUGAAAUUGAACUCGCUGUGAAGAUGCAGUGUACCCGCGGCAAGACGGAAAGACCCCGUGAACCUUUACUAUAGCUUGACACUGAACAUUGAGCCUUGAUGUGUAGGAUAGGUGGGAGGCUUUGAAGCGUGGACGCCAGUCUGCGUGGAGCCGACCUUGAAAUACCACCCUUUAAUGUUUGAUGUUCUAACGUGGACCCGUAAUCCGGGUUGCGGACAGUGUCUGGUGGGUAGUUUGACUGGGGCGGUCUCCUCCUAAAGAGUAACGGAGGAGCACGAAGGUUGGCUAAUCCUGGUCGGACAUCAGGAGGUUAGUGCAAUGGCAUAAGCCAGCUUGACUGCGAGCGUGACGGCGCGAGCAGGUGCGAAAGCAGGUCAUAGUGAUCCGGUGGUUCUGAAUGGAAGGGCCAUCGCUCAACGGAUAAAAGGUACUCCGGGGAUAACAGGCUGAUACCGCCCAAGAGUUCAUAUCGACGGCGGUGUUUGGCACCUCGAUGUCGGCUCAUCACAUCCUGGGGCUGAAGUAGGUCCCAAGGGUAUGGCUGUUCGCCAUUUAAAGUGGUACGCGAGCUGGGUUUAGAACGUCGUGAGACAGUUCGGUCCCUAUCUGCCGUGGGCGCUGGAGAACUGAGGGGGGCUGCUCCUAGUACGAGAGGACCGGAGUGGACGCAUCACUGGUGUUCGGGUUGUCAUGCCAAUGGCACUGCCCGGUAGCUAAAUGCGGAAGAGAUAAGUGCUGAAAGCAUCUAAGCACGAAACUUGCCCCGAGAUGAGUUCUCCCUGAGACUUUAGGUCUCCUGAAGGAACGUUGAAGACGACGACGUUGAUAGGCCGGGUGUGUAAGCGCAGCGAUGCGUUGAGCUAACCGGUACUAAUGAACCGUGAGGCUUAACCUUACAACGCCGAAG